AUGGGCCUGAAAUUGAGCGACUGGAGCUGCUUUGUUUUUCCAGGGAGGUCUUUUCUCGUCUCUGUGUGCGUUCCUGUGCUUCAGGGACAGAAGCACAGGAACGUCCAGCGUGUUCUCGCCCUCGCUCGCCCCGUCCCCCUCGCUCACCCUCGCUCGCCCUCGCUCGCCCCGUCCCCCUCGCUCACCCUCGCUCGCCCUUGCCCGACCCAUUCUCCUCCCUCGUCUUCGCUCGCCCUGUCCCCCUCGCUCACUCAGUCGCCCUCGCUCGCCCCAUUCUCCUCCCUCGCCUUCGCUCGCCCCGCCCCCCUCGCUCACCCUCGCUCCCCCUCGCCCGCCCCAUUCUCCUCCCUCGUCUUCACUCACCCCGUUCCCUCGCUCACCCUCCCUCACCCUUUCCUCCUCCCUCGCUCUCGCUCGCCCCGCCCCCCUCGCUCACCCUCGCUCCCCCUCGCUCGCCCCAUUCUCCUCCCUCGUCUUCACUCACCCCGUCCCCCUCGCUCACUCAGUCGCUCUCGCUCGCCCCGUCCCCCUCGCUCACCCUCCUUCGCCCCAUCACCCUCGCUCGCCCCAUUCUCCUCCCUCGCCCUCCUCGCCCCAUCAUCCUCCCUCGCCCUCCCUCGCCCCAUCACCUUCGCUCGCCCCCCUCCUCCCUCGCUCGCCCCGUCCCCCUCGCUCGCCCCAUCACCUUCGCUCGCCCCAUCCUCCCCUCGCUCGCCCCGUCCCCCUCGCUCGCCCCAUCACCUUCGCUCGCCCCAUCCUCCUCCCUCGCUCGCCCCGUCCCCCUCGCUCGCCCCAUUCUCCUCCCUCAUCUUUGCUCACCCCGUCCCCCUCGCUCACCCUCCCUCGCCCCAUCACCCUCGCUCACCCCAUCCUCCUCCCUCGCCUUCCCUUGCUCGCCCCAUCAUCCUCCCUCGCCUUCUCUCACCCCGUCCCCCUCGCUCCUCCUCCCUCGCCCUCCUCGCCCCAUUCUCCUCCCUCGUCUUCGCUCACCCCGUCCCCCUCGCUCACCCUCCCUCGCCCCAUCCUCCUCCCUCGCCCUCCCUCGCCCUCCCUCGCCCUCCCUCGCCCCAUCCUCCUCCCUCGCCCUCCCUCGCCCCAUCACCCUCGCUCGCCCCAUCCUCCUCCCUCGCUCACCCCGUCCCCCUCGCUCGCCCCAUCAUCCUCCCUCGCUCUCGCUCGCCCCAUCACCCUCCCUCGCCCCAUCCUCCUCCCUCGCCCUCCCUCGCCCCAUCACCCUCGCUCGCCCCAUCCUCCUCCCUCGCUCUCGCUCGCCCCGUCCCCCUCGCUCGCCCCAUCAUCCUCCCUCGCCUUUGCUCGCCCCGUCCCCCUCGCUCGCCCGUGCCUGCCGGCAUUAGUCCCGGUCACUUCUGGCAGCAGACCCUCCAGCCCGGUGGAGCGGCCCCCCGGGGGCAGUGCCCUGCGCCUCCUGUGGUGGUGGUGCUCAUGGCGGCGCUGAAGCGUUUAAUGCUGUCAUCACGAGCGCUUGACUUUCCUCUCGGUCCUGCGGCGGCUCUGGAGGCGUGA
rnacentral:lncRNA from 1 species